UACAGAGGGGGCAAGCGUUGUUCGGAAUUACUGGGCGUAAAGGGCCAGUAGGCGGCCAACUAAGUCCGACGUGAAAUCCCAAGGCUUAACCUUGGAACUGCGUCGGAUACUGGAUGGCUUGAAUUCGGGAGAGGGAUGCAGAAUUCCAGGUGUAGCGGUGAAAUGCGUAGAUAUCUGGAGGAAUACCGGUGGCGAAGGCGGCAUCCUGGACCGGCAUUGACGCUGAUGAGCGAAAGCGUGGGGAGCAAACAGG
rnacentral:rRNA from 1 species